UAACCUUUUCAAUAAUUUUCAACAACGCC
rnacentral:sRNA from 1 species